AGUGAACGCUGGCGGUAGGCCUAACACAUGCAAGUCGAACGGCAGCACAGUAAGAGCUUGCUCUUACGGGUGGCGAGUGGCGGACGGGUGAGGAAUACAUCGGAAUCUACUUUUUCGUGGGGGAUAACGUAGGGAAACUUACGCUAAUACCGCAUACGCCCUACGGGUGAAAGCAUGGGAUCUUCGGACCUUGCGCGAUUGAAUGAGCCGCUGUCGGAUUAGCUAGUUGGCGGGGUAAAGGCCCACCAAGGCGACGAUCCGUAGCUGGUCUGAGAGGAUGAUCAGCCACACUGGAACUGAGACACGGUCCAGACUCCUACGGGAGGCCGCAGUGGGGAAUAUUGGACAAUGGGCGCAAGCCUGAUCCAGCCAUACCGCGUGGGUGAAGAAGGCCUUCGGGUUGUAAAGCCCUUUUGUUGGGAAAGAAAAGCAGCAGGUUAAUACCCCGCUGUUCUGACGGUACCCAAAGAAUAAGCACCGGCUAACUUCGUG
rnacentral:rRNA from 1 species